UUGAACGCUGGCGGUAUGCUUUACACAUGCAAGUCGAACGGGCUAUGGGGCUUGCUCCAUAGUUAGUGGCGAACGGGUGAGUAAUAUAUCGGAACAUAUCCGGAAGUGGGGGAUAACGUAGCGAAAGUUACGCUAAUACCGCAUAUGCCCUGAGGGGGAAAGGGGGGGAUCGCAAGACCUCUCGCUUUCGGAGUGGCCGAUAUCGGAUUAGCUAGUUGGUGAGGUAAAGGCUCACCAAGGCGACGAUCCGUAGCUGGUCUGAGAGGACGACUAGCCACACUGGAACUGAGACACGGUCCAGACUCCUACGGGAGGCAGCAGUGGGGAAUUUUGGACAAUGGGCGAAAGCCUGAUCCAGCCAUACCGCGUGAGUGAAGAAGGCCUUCGGGUUGUAAAGCUCUUUCAGCCGGAAAGAAAUUGCUUCUAUUAAUACUAGGAGUAGAUGACGGUACCGGAAGAAGAAGCACCGGCUAACUACGU
rnacentral:rRNA from 1 species